CCCUUAGAUGUUCUGGGCGGCCCGCGCACUACAUUGGCACUAGCAAAGAGAUCCUAGAUUGAAUUCUUUGGGGUAUUCUUCUAAAUGGUGUCGUGACUGGGAUAAAUCCUUGUAAUUAUUGGUUUUGAACGAGGAAUUCCUUGUAAUCGCGGUUUAUCAGCUCGCGUUGAAUGCGUCCCUGCCCUUUGUACACACCGCCCGUCGCUCCUACCGAUGGAUCGUCCGGUGAAGCUCACGGAGUGACUGUUCACGCAACGGUUUACGAAGUGAAAUGGACCUCACGAUUUAGAGGAAGGAGAGGUCGUAACA
rnacentral:rRNA from 1 species